UUGGAAUGGCUAUCAUCAAAAAGACAAAAAAAAAAAAAAAAAAAAGCAAAUGCUGGCGAAGAUGCAGAGAACAGGAAACUCUUGUAUACUGUUUAUGGGAAUGUAAAUUAGUACAGGCAUUAUGGAAAACGGUAUGGAGGUUUCUUCAAAAACUAAAAAUAAAACUGGUAGAUCUAGCUCUCUUAUACUAAUCCCUGUCUCCACUCCCUACUUCAAUUUUUUUUUUUUUUUUUUUUUUAAAGAUGGAGUUUCACCUUGUUGCCCAGGCUGGAGUGCAAUGGUGCGAUCUCCGCUUACUUGCAACCUCUGCCUCCUGGGUUCAAGUGAUUCUCCUGCCUCAGCUCCCAAGUACCUGGGAUUACAGGCACCUGCCACCACACCCAGCUAAUUUUUGUAUUUUUAGUAGAGACGGGAUUUCACCAUGUUGGCCAGGCUGGUCUUGAUUCCCUGACCUCAGGUUAUCUGCCUGCCUCAGCCUCCCAAAGUGCCGGGAUUACAGGCGUGAGCCACCGUGCCCAGCCUCUACUCCAAUUUUCAUAGUUAUAUUACUUUUAGUGUUUCUAUAGAUUAACUUUGUAACAUUAAAAAAUAAAACUUUAAGCCUGGCAUGGUGGUUGAGUACCCCGUCUCAAAAAUAAAAAAAAUAAAAUAAAAUAAAAUAAAAUAAAAUAAAAUUGUAUUUCUUAUUCUGUCAACUCUGAUUGUAUUUGUUGACUUCCCAUUAUGUAAGAGGAAGUUAUGAAUUCCCCAUACCUUUUCUCCCAACUUCUCUCCCACCUCCACAUUAGGUAUAUCUUAACUUCUACCUUGUCAAGGUUAAGAACAGUUACAAUCUGUUGGGUAACGGUAAUUAAUUUUUCCAUGCAUUGUUUAUAGGUUGAUGCUAAAAGUUGUAAAGCAAUAAGCAAUAUUUGCAGUAUUACAACUAUAUAAAUGUUUUUCACUGCAGAGACAGGAAGGGUUUUAGGAUUACACUUUCUUUUCUAGUGGCACAAUGUCAUGAUUUCUGUGCUACUUGAAGAAUAUUCCUAGAGUCAAGGUCAGAUGAACUCUCUUCUUACACUCCAUCCAAAAUCAUACCACAUUUUAGUCUGCUUCAUAUUUUCUUCUUGUUAUACAUGCUUAUCAAGAUUCUGUCUUUCCAAGCUGGAGAAGAUUCUAUCUCAGGGUCUGGAUUUCUCACUACCCCAACUCAGGGGAGUGCUAUACGGCCAUUUUCCCUUGGCGAUUGUGUAUGGAAAACAAUAAAUACAGGAGGCUGUAUAAAUGUAACAGUUUAAAUGAAAAAAGAAAUUGUCAAGUGUCCCUCCCUGAUUCUACCCAUCUCUUUCUACUCCCCACCGCCUCUGCCAGGUAACCACAGUCAUGAAUUUCGUGAUAACUAUUCCCUCAAAUAAAAAAUAAUAAUUUUGCCAUCUGAGAAUGUAUCCCUAAAUAAUAUAGUUUAG
rnacentral:lncRNA from 1 species